AGUUAUUUAUCUUUGUAGGUAAAGUAAAUGUUUUGAAAGCAUUAAAAAAGAGUUCAACUCUCUUAAUAACUU
rnacentral:tRNA from 1 species